UACGAAGGGGGCGAGCGUUGUUCGGAUUUACUGGGCGUAAAGGGCGCGUAGGCGGCUUGGCAAGUGGAAGGUGAAAUCCCUCGGCUUAACCGAGGAACUGCCCUCCAAACUGCUUUGCUUGAGGCCGGGAGAGGUGAGUGGAAUUCCCAGUGUAGCGGUGAAAUGCGUAGAUAUUGGGAGGAACACCAGUGGCGAAGGCGGCUCACUGGACCGGUUCUGACGCUGAUGCGCGAAAGCGUGGGGAGCAAACGGG
rnacentral:rRNA from 1 species